CACGUAGGGUGCGAGCGUUGUCCGGAAUUAUUGGGCGUAAAGAGCUCGUAGGCGGUGUGUCGCGUCGGCCGUGAAAACCUGCAGCUUAACUGUGGGCGUGCGGUCGAUACGGGCAUCACUGGAGUUCGGCAGGGGAGACUGGAAUUCCUGGUGUAGCGGUGAAAUGCGCAGAUAUCAGGAGGAACACCGGUGGCGAAGGCGGCUACCUGGACAGAAACUGACGCUGAGGCGCGAAAGCUAGGGGAGCAAACAGG
rnacentral:rRNA from 1 species